rnacentral:rRNA from 1 species
GAUGAACGCCGGCGGUGUGCCUAAUACAUGCAAGUCGAACGCGUUGGCCCAAUUGAUUGACGGUGCUUGCACCUGAUUGAUUUUGGUCGCCAACGAGUGGCGGACGGGUGAGUAACACGUAGGUAACCUGCCCAGAAGCGGGGGACAACAUUUGGAAACAGAUGCUAAUACCGCAUAACAACGUUGUUCGCAUGAACAACGCUUAAAAGAUGGCUUCUCGCUAUCACUUCUGGAUGGACCUGCGGUGCAUUAGCUUGUUGGUGGGGUAACGGCCUACCAAGGCGAUGAUGCAUAGCCGAGUUGAGAGACUGAUCGGCCACAAUGGGACUGAGACACGGCCCAUACUCCUACGGGAGGCAGCAGUAGGGAAUCUUCCACAAUGGGCGCAAGCCUGAUGGAGCAACACCGCGUGAGUGAAGAAGGGUUUCGGCUCGUAAAGCUCUGUUGUUAAAGAAGAACACGUAUGAGAGUAACUGUUCAUACGUUGACGGUAUUUAACCAGAAAGUCACGGCUAACUACGUGCCAGCAGCCGCGGUAAUACGUAGGUGGCAAGCGUUAUCCGGAUUUAUUGGGCGUAAAGAGAGUGCAGGCGGUUUUCUAAGUCUGAUGUGAAAGCCUUCGGCUUAACCGGAGAAGUGCAUCGGAAACUGGAUAACUUGAGUGCAGAAGAGGGUAGUGGAACUCCAUGUGUAGCGGUGGAAUGCGUAGAUAUAUGGAAGAACACCAGUGGCGAAGGCGGCUCUCUGGUCUGCAACUGACGCUGAGGCUCGAAAGCAUGGGUAGCGAACAGG